rnacentral:rRNA from 1 species
GAGUUUGAUCCUGGCUCAGAUUGAACGCUGGCGGAAUGCUUUACACAUGCAAGUCGAACGGCAGCACGGGAGCUAGCUCCUGGUGGCGAGUGGCGAACGGGUGAGUAAUACAUCGGAACAUGCCUAGUCGUGGGGGAUACCGUAGCGAAAGUUACGUUAAUACCGCAUACGUCCUGAGGGAGAAAGCAGGGGAUUCGCAAGAACCUUGCGCGAUUAGAGUGGCCGAUGCCUGAUUAGCUAGUUGGUGAGGUAAUGGCUCACCAAGGCGACGAUCAGUAGCGGGUCUGAGAGGAUGAUCCGCCACACUGGAACUGAGACACGGUCCAGACUCCUACGGGAGGCAGCAGUGGGGAAUUUUGGACAAUGGGGGCAACCCUGAUCCAGCCAUUCCGCGUGAGUGAAGAAGGCCUUCGGGUUGUAAAGCUCUAUCAGCGGGAACGAAACGGUGCGCUCUAACAUAGCGUAUUAAUGACGGUACCCGCAGAAUAAGCCCCGGCUAACUUCGUGCCAGCAGCCGCGGUAAUACGAAGGGGGCUAGCGUUGCUCGGAAUGACUGGGCGUAAAGCGUGCGCAGGCGGACUGUUAAGCAAGAUGUGGAAUCCCCGGGCUUAACCUGGGAAUGGCAUUUUGAACUGGCAGUCUAGAGUGUGUCAGAGGGGGGUGGAAUUCCACGUGUAGCAGUGAAAUGCGUAGAGAUGUGGAGGAACACCAAUGGCGAAGGCAGCCCCCUGGGAUAACACUGACGCUCAUGUACGAAAGCGUGGGUAGCAAACAGGAUUAGAUACCCUGGUAGUCG